UUUCUUUCUGGGGACGGAACAGUUGUUUUCUAAAACAGGCCCCUGACACCACAAUGCACAAUAAGCAAGCGGCUACUUAUGUAGCCACUUUCACCGGUUGUACUGACACACACUAGCCUUUUCUUCCUCUCUUCGGCAGAGGUGCGCAACAAAUGUUUCAGCAGCCAAAAACCAAACCUACAAUGAGCACCUGAGGCUACACACAGGUCCACUGAGAACACCUACAGUCUUCACUCAAACGGUUUUAGACAAUCCUUUCCCCUUUCCCGAGGAAGGGACGCAACCAAACCGGGAUUUUCUGCCGCCUUACGUACAGCCAAUCACAGCGUCCGUUUGAGGCAGGGCCCAGCCUCGUCCACAGAUAAAACCCCUGCCAUUGGUCCGCGGGAUGUCUGUAACGCGAGAGGGAUUCAGGCGCCACGUUGCAAGCUGACGCUCAAACUUACUCAGCAUGGGUCAGUCUGAGGAGCGAAAAUACGAGUGGUACGAAAUUGUUACAGCUCUACAACCUGCAGAGCUACUUCAGUAUCAUGGUCGUGUUCCCACUCGCACCAACAUGCACCACCCGUCAUGAAAAAUGGGGCUGCAUGUGAAUGUGUCGAGCGUACAGGUCGUAAUGAAGACCAUGAAAAGAAGAUUAGCUGGAGCUGUUAUAGCGGACCGUCUGGGGACCGUCAUCAUGAGACUGUGGGGACCAGUGCUUGUUGUCAGAUCGGGUGGUGGAGCGAUUUUGGCUGCAGAAAGAGUGUCUCCCCUGGGCUGCAGCGCGGCUCCUGUCCCCUUCUCUCCCUGCAGCUGGAGCUACGAGAGCCAGAUGCUACGUAGCUCCACCACCCUCUGUCCCCCCUCUCUUUCUUCCAGGAGGAUGGUGCCCAGAGAGGAGGAUGACAAACGCCUCUGCCUCCUCUUACUGACGGAUUUGGACGACCUGACUCCAGCCCCGCACUGUUCCAACCGCCAGCACAAGAUGUUGACUUAA
rnacentral:lncRNA from 15 species